rnacentral:rRNA from 1 species
UACGUAGGAGACGAGCGUUGUCCGGAUUUACUGGGCGUAAAGGGCGCGUAGGCGGCGCAACAAGUCACUUGUGAAAUCUCCGGGCUUAACCCGGAGCGGCCAAGUGAUACUGUCGUGCUAGAGUGCGGAAGGGGCUACUGGAAUUCUCGGUGUAGCGGUGAAAUGCGUAGAUAUCGAGAGGAACACCUGCGGCGAAGGCGGGUUGCUGGGCUGACACUGACGCUGAGGCGCGAAAGCUAGGGGAGCGAACGGG